rnacentral:lncRNA from 1 species
CCUCCAUCACAUUGAAGUUUCGAAUCCAAACCCCGAUAACAAAGGAAAAGAAGCAGAAGUUUGAGGCCGCAAGAAGCAAAAGAAACCCACAAAGGGCCAAACUUCAAAACCUUAUACCAAAAAAGACGAUCGAUGCGCAAGAUAGUACAGAGCUCUUACCUUGGAUUUCCGCUUCCCCGUACCCUCCNNNNNNNNNNNNNNNNNNNNAUUGAAGCUUCGAAUCCAAACCCCGAUAACAAAGGAAAAGAAGCAGAAGUUUGAGGCCGCAAGAAGCAAAAGAAACCCACAAAGGGCCAAACUCCAAAACCUUAUACCAAAAAAGACGAUCGAUGCGCGAGAUAGUACAGAGUUCUUACCUUGGAUUUCCGCUUCCCCGUACCCUCCAUCACAUUGAAGCUUCGAAUCCAAACCCCGAUAACAAAGGAAAAGAAGCAGAAGUUUGAGGCCGCAAGAAGCAAAAGAAACCCACGAAGGGCCAAACUUCAAAACCUUAUACCAAAAAAUACGAUCGAUGUGCAAGAUAGUACAGAGCUCUUACCUUGGAUUUCCGCUUCCCCGUACCCUCCUCCUGGCUGCCUUCCUCCUCCCCACUCUCCGUCACCUCCGUCGCGGCCGCCUGCCCAGCAUCUACUCCGGCGGACAUUUCCCCAUCAGAAUUUCCGGAAGCGAUCGUUCGACAUUGAACGCGAGACAACCAUCGUCCCGAUUGAUAACAGCUAGGGUAUGAAAAGGAGGAGCUACUGGCGGGAGAUUUAGCGAGUCUUGAGGAGG